GCACCUCAUAAAGCGGGUGCCGGGCGUGGAAACCCGGAAUUCAAUAUAGAGCACAACCGCGCUCAUGCGGUUUUUUCUUGUCAUGAGCAUUGCUACGCCCAAAUUAUGGUGGGGCGUGCAGGGCCAGUUUCGGCUGGGCCGGGUUCUAUGUUGACCGGUAUUUCCACCCCUGUACGUCUCACCACCUA
rnacentral:sRNA from 1 species